rnacentral:rRNA from 1 species
UACAGAGGUCUCAAGCGUUGUUCCGAUUCAUUGGGCGUAAAGGGUGCGUAGGUGGCGGGGUAAGUCAGGUGUGAAAUCUCGGGGCUCAACCCCAAAACUGCACUUGAUACUGCCUUGCUCGAGUACUGGAGAGGAGAUUGGAAUUUACGGUGUAGCAGUGAAAUGCGUAGAUAUCGUAAGGAAGACCAGUGGCGAAGGCGAAUCUCUGGACAGUUACUGACACUGAGGCACGAAGGCCAGGGGAGCAAACGGG